AGUGAACGCUGGCGGUAGGCCUAACACAUGCAAGUCGAACGGCAGCACAGUAAGAGCUUGCUCUUACGGGUGGCGAGUGGCGGACGGGUGAGGAAUACAUCGGACUCUACUUUUUCGUGGGGGAUAACGUAGGGACACUUACGCUAAUACCUCAUACGACCUACGGGUGAAAUCAGGGGCUCUUCGCGCCUUUCGCGAUUUCAUUAGCCGAUGUCGGAUUAGCUAGUUGGCGGGGUAAAGGCCCACCAAGGCGACGAUCCGUAGCUGGUCUGAGAGGAUGAUCAGCCACACUGGAACUGAGACACGGUCCAGACUCCUACGGGAGGCAGCAGUGGGGAAUAUUGGACAAUGGGCGCAAGCCUGAUCCAGCCAUACCGCGUGGGUGAAGAAGGCCUUCGGGUUGUAAAGCCCUUUUGUUGGGAAAGAAAAGCAGCAGGUUAAUACCCCGCUGUUCUGACGGUACCCAAAGAAUAAGCACCGGCUAACUUCGUG
rnacentral:rRNA from 1 species